GCGUGAUUGUAUGUAUGCAGGUAUGUGUGUGGCGCAGUAGUCAAAUCAAGUUAAUAGACAAAUAUGUGCAGCCAAUAGAAGAUAAACGAGCCUUCGAAAAGGUGCAUUUAAUUUUGCGAAAUAAUGCAGAAAUUGCAAAUGUUAGAUAGCAGCCAAUAAAGAAGAAGUUACAAAGCUAUCCAAUUACGUGCACGAUAAGAUAAAAAUAAAAAUGCAAGAAUUUUCAUUUAAAUAAAACAAAACAAAAGAAAGAAAGAAUUCUAUAACUAAUAAGAUUUUUUACGUUGCACGGGUAAUAAUAAAGAGUUAAUCAUUAUAAAAGAACGCUAAGUAUAAUUAGAAAGGGUA